rnacentral:rRNA from 1 species
GACGAACGCUGGCGGCGUGCUUAACACAUGUAAGUCGAACGGAAAGGCCCUGCUUUUGUGGGGUGCUCGAGUGGCGAACGGGUGAGUAACACGUGAGUAACCUGCCCUUGACUUUGGGAUAACUUCAGGAAACUGGGGCUAAUACCGGAUAGGAGCUCCUGCUGCAUGGUGGGGGUUGGAAAGUUUCGGCGGUUGGGGAUGGACUCGCGGCUUAUCAGCUUGUUGGUGGGGUAGUGGCUUACCAAGGCUUUGACGGGUAGCCGGCCUGAGAGGGUGACCGGCCACAUUGGGACUGAGAUACGGCCCAGACUCCUACGGGAGGCAGCAGUGGGGAAUAUUGCACAAUGGGCGGAAGCCUGAUGCAGCAACGCCGCGUGCGGGAUGACGGCCUUCGGGUUGUAAACCGCUUUCGCCUGUGACGAAGCGUGAGAGACGGUAAUGGGUAAAGAAGCACCGGCUAACUACGUG